GAUGAACGCUGGCGGCGUGCCUAAUACAUGCAAGUCGAGCGAACGGACGAGAAGCUUGCUUCUCUGAUGUUAGCGGCGGACGGGUGAGUAACACGUGGAUAACCUACCUAUAAGACUGGGAUAACUUCGGGAAACCGGAGCUAAUACCGGAUAAUAUUUUGAACCGCAUGGUUCAAAAGUGAAAGACGGUCUUGCUGUCACUUAUAGAUGGAUCCGCGCUGCAUUAGCUAGUUGGUAAGGUAACGGCUUACCAAGGCAACGAUGCAUAGCCGACCUGAGAGGGUGAUCGGCCACACUGGAACUGAGACACGGUCCAGACUCCUACGGGAGGCAGCGGUAGGGAAUCUUCCGCAAUGGGCGAAAGCCUGACGGAGCAACGCCGCGUGAGUGAUGAAGGUCUUCGGAUCGUAAAACUCGGUUAUUAGGGAAGAACAUAUGUGUAAGUAACUGUGCACAGCUUGACGGUACCUAAUCAGAAAGCCACGGCUAACUACGUG
rnacentral:rRNA from 1 species